AUUGGUCUGCUAAUUCGAAAUUUGUAGUUUGUAGUCUAGCAGACCAUAUCUCAUCAAAAUACAUUG
ensembl:ncRNA B0432.19 ncRNA